rnacentral:piRNA from 1 species
UACUUACUCUUCAAUUUUUGC